rnacentral:rRNA from 1 species
UACGUAGGGGGCAAGCGUUGUUCGGAUUUAUUGGGCGUAAAGAGCGUGUAGGCGGCCUCAAGGUCAGCUGUGAAAACUCGAGGCUCAACCUCGAGACGUCGGUUGAAACCACUGAGCUAGAGUCCGGAAGAGGAGAGUGGAAUUCCCGGUGUAGCGGUGAAAUGCGCAGAUAUCGGGAAGAACACCCGUGGCGAAGGCGGCUCUCUGGGACGGUACUGACGCUGAGACGCGAAAGCGUGGGGAGCGAACAGG